CCAUUGAGUUAUUUCUCAGAUGCCUUGCAACAUCUUGAAACACGUACCCAGAUUAUUCCUGACAUGAGGAUGUGCACACUCAGCAUUCAUGAUGCUGAUUGAGGUGUUCCUAAUAACAUCCCUGAAAAUGUUCAAGAUUGACAUUCCAGGAUCCAUGCAGCAUGCUGAGAAAGGAUCUCCCCUUCCUUGUCCAAAGGACAUUUGGUUUUUGUGGCAUUCUUGUGGAUGACACAGAUAGAUGACAGUUUCCAAGUUGGACAACUCACA
rnacentral:lncRNA from 1 species